ACAUCCUGUAUAGGUACAUUACGGUACACGUGUUACCUGUAGAAUAUCCUGUAUAGAGCUGUAUAGACUACAGUACAAUAGGUACAUUACGGUACAUGUGUUACCUGU